AAGUCGUAACAAGGUUUCCGUAGGUGAACCUGCGGAAGGAUCAUUAAAAUAAUAAUGAAUGUCGGGGGGGAGGGCGCUUCGGUGCUUUUUUCCCCCGUGUAUUCAACCAAACCCGCUCGUGUAUUUGGAUCAACCAAAAAAAACAAAUAAAAUUUUCUAACGAUAAUAAUUAAACAAACUUUCAACAACGGAUCUCUUGGCUCUC
rnacentral:misc_RNA from 1 species